rnacentral:tRNA from 1 species
GGAUUGUGGCUCAGUGGUAGAGUACUUGCCUAGCAUUUGUGAAGCACUGGGUUCAAUUCUCAGCACCA